rnacentral:tRNA from 1 species
AUCCAGUUGAGGUAAUUGGUAUCCGGUAUACUUCAUCACUAUACUAUACAGGUUCGACUCCUGUGCUGGAUU